GCCGAUGUAGCUCAGUUGGUCAGAGCAGCUGAUUUGUAAUCAGCCGGUCGGGGGUUCGAGUCCCUUCAUCGGCU
rnacentral:tRNA from 1 species